UACGUAGGGUGCAAGCGUUGUCCGGAAUCAUUGGGCGUAAAGCGCGCGUAGGUGGCUUCGUCAGUCCGUUGUGAAAGUCAAAGGCUCAACCUUUGAAUGCCGAUGGAUACUGCGAAGCUAGAGUACGGAAGAGGCGAGUGGAAUUCCUGGUGUAGCGGUGGAAUGCGCAGAUAUCAGGAGGAACACCGAUGGCGAAGGCAGAUCUCUGGGCCGUAACUGACGCUGAGGAGCGAAAGCGUGGGGAGCGAACAGG
rnacentral:rRNA from 1 species